CAGGGCUGGGCACAGGGGCAGGGUCACUCCAUGACCUGCUGGGAAUGCUCUUCCUGAUGCAUCUCAGGAUCCCAUUGUCUCCUUGGCCCCAAGGAUACUCUGCUGAUGCAGGGACAGUUCAUUGUCUCCCAGGACCACCAAGUGCUUCUCCACGAAGUUGGUCCCCAGCCCCUGCUGGGAUAUUUCUCCCCCAGCUGCAAGGACUCAAGCAAAAUUUUCUUCUCCUGGGGACAGCUUUAAGCACAUAGCUUGUGAACAAAACACACCCAAGAACCAAUGGCUGCAUCCUCCAAGGCCUGCAAAAUGAGGAGCAGGAUCAGAACCCUGAAACAGAGCACCUGGAAUGUGAAGAAGUCAUGGGGGUUUAGCCUGGGAUACUGUUAUAUUUUCCUGGAGUGAUGCUGCAAAAUGAGUAAAUGCAUUUUGAAAAUAGCAGGAAUUUGAAGAUUUGAAGAUCACACAGGCCAAAUCUUCUAUAUUCUGCUGGUGCUGAGGCCUUUCCAGAUGGAUUUCUCAGGAAAUCAUCAGUGAGUGAUACAAAUCAGAAGACAAGAAAUAAUAAAAAAUUUCCAGCUACGAGCAAACCUCUUUUCCCAGGUGAUUCAGCCUUAAUGAUGUUCACAUUGUGUCGGCAAGAGGAGACUCCAGUGCAGGAAAGGCAGCAGGAAUGAAGACUCAGAAGGAAAACACUGCCACAGUCACAUGGAUAAAGCCAACCAGAUGUUCAGGUUUUAGUGAUAUUAAAUUCUGUCACUGCUAAAAAAUAGCAAAUGAAAGACUGUGAUAGAAAGAAGAUGGAAAGUUGCUGCCAGACACCCACCCAGCUGCUUUCUCUCUGCCCCUCCUGAACAGCAUGAAAAAGAGAAUCUCCUGGGAAAACUGAAGAUGGUGACAGAGAGAUCAUUCACCCAUUACUGUCAUGGGAAAACCAGACUGGACUUGGGUAAACAAUUUAAUUUAUUGCCAAGCAUUAACACAGUAGGAUAGUGAGGAAAUAAGUCUAAAAACAACUUCUCCUCCCUCUCCUUUCUUCCCAGGAUUGAGUAAGAACUUCCCUGGGCAAUGACUGAGCACUGGAACAGAGACCACAGAGGGUGUGGAAUAUCCUCACUAGAGAUAUUCCAGAGCCAUCUGGACACAAUCCUGUGCCCUGUGCUCUUGGAUGGCCCUGCUGGAGCUGGGAGGUGGCACCAGAUAAACCUGACCCAUCCAGGGAUUCUGGGAUUUACUCCCAACUGUUCUAUCUCUUCCCAUAUGGAAAACAAGGGUGGUGGUCAGUCUACAACACUUUAUCUCUGCUGGUUCUUCGUCCAGACACUUGUCCCCUGCACAAGCAUGAAGUCUUUUCCAUGGGCUACACUCCUUCUGGAACAGACUUCUCCCAGACAAAGGUUCUGCCAGAAAACCUGCUCCUACAGGCAGGGCACUACACAGGCUGCAGCUUCACUCAGGACACAUUCCUCUGCUCCAGGGUGGGCUC